rnacentral:rRNA from 1 species
AGUGAACGCUGGCGGUAUGCCUAACACAUGCAAGUCGAACGGCAGCACAGUAAGAGCUUGCUCUUACGGGUGGCGAGUGGCGGACGGGUGAGGAAUACACCGGAAUCUACUUUUUCGUGGGGGAUAACGUAGGGAAACUUACGCUAAUACCGCAUACGACCUACGGGUGAAAGCAGGGGAUCUUCGGACCUUGCGCGAUUGAAUGAGCCGAUGUCGGAUUAGCUAGUUGGCGGGGUAAAGGCCCACCAAGGCGACGAUCCGUAGCUGGUCUGAGAGGAUGAUCAGCCACACUGGAACUGAGACACGGUCCAGACUCCUACGGGAGGCAGCAGUGGGGAAUAUUGGACAAUGGGCGCAAGCCUGAUCCAGCCAUACCGCGUGGGUGAAGAAGGCCUUCGGGUUGUAAAGCCCUUUUGUUGGGAAAGAAAAGCAGCAGGUUAAUACCCCGCUGUUCUGACGGUACCCAAAGAAUAAGCACCGGCUAACUUCGUG